AAACAUGUCUCUUUGAAGAAUUUUUAUAUAAAGAGUUGAGCCUGCCCAGUGAUAUUUUUAACGGCCGCGGUACUCUGACCGUGCAAAGGUAGCAUAAUCAUUUGCCUUAUGAUUGAAGGCUUGUAUGAAUGGUUUGACAAGAGCAUUGUUGUCUCCUGAAGAUUUUAUAGAAUUUAGUUUCUAGGUGAGGAAACUUAGAUUAAAUUGAAAGACAAGAAGACCCUAUCGAGCUUUAAAAUAGUUUUUAGGUAGUAAAUAAAAGUUCUAAUAAGGAUUUUGGUUGGGGCGACUGAGGAACUUUAAGCUUCUUUUUAGAAGUGAUAACUAAUAAGGUUAUGAUCCAGAAUGUCUGAAUAAAGGAAUUAGUUACCGUAGGGAUAACAGCAUAAUUUUUCUUAAGAGUUCUUAUUGAAAGAAAAGUUUGUGACCUCGAUGUUGGACUAGAAUAUCCUAAAGAUGCAGAAGUCUUUGAUGGUUGGCCUGUUCGGCCAGUAAUAUUCUACAUGAUCUGA
rnacentral:rRNA from 1 species